CUAACCUCUAGAAUGUCAGCACAUUUCUGUUAUUUAUAAGCUAGUUGGUCUGUAGCAUUCAGUGUUGUUAGCAUCCCAAAUGGGUUAUGAAAGCUAAGUAGAACAUCUGUAAAGGGAGUCAUGUUUUGUGAUGCUCACGAGGAAAGAAGUACAAGAAAGUUUUUGAUAAAGAUUUGCUGCCAAUCAUCAUUCUGCCAGCACUGAAAGCCACGACCUCAAGGUGCUCAUGCUGAACUGAAUUCAUCUUCUGACGGGACAGACUGUUGUGCUCACUCAUCCAACCAACAUGCCUGCCGUGAGGAUUUAUUGCCAGGAAACAUGCAUGGUCUAAGAAGAGGUUUCCUAUGUCAGACGCAAGUUGGGAUUGUAUGUGGAGGAAUGCUGAUGGGUUAGUAGUGCUUAUACGUGAAUCUUGCAUGAGGUUAUUUAAUUAUAGACUCAAGUGGAAUUGGAUAAUCUGUAAUUCCCUCUCCCGACCGGUAGACUCUAAAUAGCUUUAGGCCGCCCGCAAGUGUAGAAUGCUGUGAGAAAGUAGGUUUUUAUCGGUUGGUCUGGCUUGUUAAUUCGAAGGAGAAGACCUCACCUCUUAGUUACUGAUUAUAACAUUCCAGUACAUUUUGGGACCCACUGAUAAUUUUGGAAGUUGUCAAGCAGAUGGAUAAAAUGAUAACGGACUUAACAGGUCUAGGGAGCUAAAAACGCAAGCUACCAAUAAGCAAAUUAAAACGGAGCCGAGCUUUGGAGCUGCCCAGAGACAGAAAAAUCAGCCCUUUUUGAAGGUUUAAAGGAGGUUUGGAAGCAGAAGGGCGGGGCUUCAGAAGGUGAAGAGGAGGGAUGGAAGCAGAAGGGCGGGGCUUCAGAAGGUGAGGAGGAGGAGGAAAGAAGCAGAAGGGCGGGGCUUCUGAAGAGGAGGAGGAGGGAGGAAGAAGAAGGACAGAGGAGGGAAGUACAAGGAAACCAUCUUCCUCUUCUCUAUCCUCCUCCUUCCAAGACAGAACUUAUCUGCUUGAACUAAAGAGACUGCUACUCAUGGAGAAACCAGGACCUACAUCCUCAGUUUCUUUUGAUUAUUCUAUAAGGUGAUAUAUUUAAGUAGUUAGAAUAUGUUAGAAUUAAAGUCUUAAGUGUCCACCAAAGGCCUCUAAAGUGUAGAUUUGGUGUUGGGGGAGAUGGUUAAACUUUUCUGAAAUACGACUUUCCCUUAGGUUUUCAGGUAAUUGGGAUGUAUCCCUGAAGGGACAAUAGAAUCCAGCUCCCAUUUUCCUCUAUUUUAUUCCCUCCAUACACUUCUGUGAUGUGCAUUCCCCACACCAGCAAAAGCAAUAUGUCUCUCUAGUCAUGUGGUGGAAUCUCUAAACCUGUGAGCCAGAUCGAACCUUUUCAUUUCAUCUGGCAGUUACCUCUAGUCUUUGUUAUAAUAAUAGAAGGCUGUAUUGUGUAACAUACUUAGUGAACCACAACUAUUUAUGUUAUAGUAAUAUUUACCUUUCUUCCCUUCCAUUGUCCCUUCCUCCCUUGCAGUGUUGGACAUUCCAAGGCCUUGGACAUGCGAGACAACCAUUCUAUCACUGAGAUUUCUCUUUGACCCCAACCUGGCAGUACAUUUUGAAUGAGGGUGGGGACACUUGAGU
rnacentral:lncRNA from 1 species